GAUGAACGCUGGCGGCGUGCCUAAUACAUGCAAGUCGAGCGAACAGACGAGGAGCUUGCUCCUCUGACGUUAGCGGCGGACGGGUGAGUAACACGUGGAUAACCUACCUAUAAGACUGGGAUAACUUCGGGAAACCGGAGCUAAUACCGGAUAAUAUAUUGAACCGCAUGGUUCAAUAGUGAAAGACAGUUUUGCUGUCACUUAUAGAUGGAUCCGCGCCGCAUUAGCUAGUUGGUAAGGUAACGGCUUACCAAGGCAACGAUGCGUAGCCGACCUGAGAGGGUGAUCGGCAACACUGGAACUGAGACACGGUCCAGACUCCUACGGGAGGCAGCAGUAGGGAAUCUUCCGCAAUGGGCGAAAGCCUGACGGAGCAACGCCGCGUGAGUGAUGAAGGUCUUCGGAUCGUAAAACUCUGUUAUUAGGGAAGAACAAAUGUGUAAGUAACUAUGCACGUCUUGACGGUACCUAAUCAGAAAGCCACGGCUAACUACGUG
rnacentral:rRNA from 1 species